AAUAGAAUCAGAUUCUUCCUGAUCUCCCUGAUCUAUCACCAGUCAGUUUCAGGAUGAGACCUUUAUUCCCAUCACUGGGACCUUAUAUAAUCAUUUAUCUAUGGCCAAGUUGUCAUGAGUGCUUUCAUCUAACAUGCUGGACCUUUCCUGGAACAAAUUCCUUCAGACAAAUUCUCCACCAGACCAUCAACUCAGGAGGGCAAACAAGGAGCUUGUUUUCAAGAGCUGGAGCCAAACCACCCAGAGUUUCCUGUGCCAGGUACUGAAGACACACCACCACUGCAGAUACAGCUAGUCACUGUGCCAGCAGGAUAGAGAGCUCUGGAAGAUCUAGAAAGAACAACUGAGACCCUGGUCCACAAGGGACACACAGCACUUACACUAACAGCUCCUCAGCCAGAACUAGUCACAAGUCUCCAGCCAACUAAAAGAAAGACCAGGACAAAGAGCUAAUCUGGAAGGCAAAGAGCCAGAAAUAUUUGGUGAGUGGAAAUAGUGACUGUGACAGGAAACAAGCCCUUUUUGACCCUCUCCAUCAAUUCAUAGAUUUCAGUCAUAAAUUGAAUUCCUUUUGACCCCUAAAGAGUUUUUCUAAAGAGGGUAAAAGUCAAUUGAUUAUCCUAGGCUCACUGACGCAACAAGAUUGUCUUAAACAUGAUUUCUUUCUUGAUUUUAGCUCCAUGGUUAGGAUUUCACUUUCAAAAGAUUAAUAAUAAGGUGAUGAUGAUGAUAUUUUACUCAGCACUUUCCACAUUUAUUUUCUGGAUCUCAGGCAUAGAGCCAUAAGUGAAUCACAUCUCUGAUUUUAUA
rnacentral:lncRNA from 1 species